rnacentral:lncRNA from 1 species
GACUGAAGUGAUGAUUUAUUUUACACAAUAUUGUCUGCAAUAUGGUAUGAUGAUCUAUAAUACAUGCACUACCAUCUGAUCAAUCUUUUAGUCACUCAGUUUUUUCAUUAUUUCCUAUUUUUUUUGUAAAUCCCAAAUUAAAAAUGCAUACGUUGCAAUCGAUGAUGCAAAUCUACAUUUUAAACUGAUGUUUUGCUGUGAUUAACAUAAAUUAUCACCAUCUUUCGGUUGAGAUUGCA